rnacentral:rRNA from 1 species
GAUGAACGCUGGCGGCGUGCCUAAUACAUGCAAGUCGAGCGAACAGACGAGGAGCUUGCUCCUCUGAUGUUAGCGGCGGACGGGUGAGUAACACGUGGAUAACCUACCUAUAAGACUGGGAUAACUUCGGGAAACCGGAGCUAAUACCGGAUAACAUGUUGAACCGCAUGGUUCAACAGUGAAAGACGGUCUUGCUGUCACUUAUAGAUGGAUCCGCGCCGCAUUAGCUAGUUGGUAAGGUAACGGCUUACCAAGGCAACGAUGCGUAGCCGACCUGAGAGGGGGGUAGGCCACACUGGGGGUGAGACACGGUCCAGGCUCCUGCGUGACGCAGCAGUGGGGCAUCUUCCGCAAUGGUCGAAAGCCUGACAGUGCAACGCCGCGUGAAAGAAGAAAGUCUUCGGAUCGUAAAACUCUCUUAUCAGUGAAGAACAACUAUGUAAGUACCUAUGCACGGCUUGACGGGACCGAAUCAGAUAGCCCCGGCUAACUACGAG